GACGAACGCUGGCGGCGUGCUUAACACAUGCAAGUCGAACGGAAAGGCCCUGCUUUUGUGGGGUGCUCGGGUGGCGAACGGGUGAGUAACACGUGAGUUACCUGCCCUUGACUUUGGGAUAACUUCAGGAAACUUGGGCUAAUACCGGAUAGGAACUCCUGCUGCAUGGUGGGGGGUGGAAAGGUUCGGCGGUUGGGGAUGGACUCGCGGCUUAUCAGCUUGUUGGUGGGGUAGUGGCUUACCAAGGCUUUGACGGGUAGCCGGCCUGAGAGGGUGACCGGCCACAUUGGGACUGAGAUACGGCCCAGACUCCUACGGGAGGCAGCAGUGGGGAAUAUUGCACAAUGGGCGGAAGCCUGAUGCAGCAACGCCGCGUGCGGGAUGACGGCCUUCGGGUUGUAAACCGCUUUCGCCUGUGACGAAGCGUGAGUGACGGUAAUGGGUAAAGAAGCACCGGCUAACUACGUG
rnacentral:rRNA from 1 species